GCAAAAGGGCAAAAAACAUCAACCCUUCAUCGCGUUUGAAAUUGGCCUUCCAUUCGUGGCAGAAUCUGGUUGUUGGUCCGAGACCUGGUUGGGUCUUCCCCUGAGCUCAUUGUUUGUGCGAAUCGCGGAUCGUGAACUUGUGAAAAUUUUUCGCUUGCUGCCGUGAUCGUGUUGUGCCUGGGUCGGAAUCUAACUGGCCUGUUUGAAAGUGGAUAAUGAUUUUUGCCGUCGUGGUGCUUCAGUUCAUAACAAGGAAAAGCCAGCUCCUGGGAGAUUCCACCUUUUUUCUUAUGAGACAAAAACAGGGACACUAGGAGGCAACCGAUUGCGCCAGUAGUGUUCAGUUCGAAUCUACGAAUCGAAGCAACUGGACAAGUGAAUUUCCGCUACGGUAGAAACCAAAGAAAAUAGUAAUUCAAGUGGAACAAAACAUUGGUUUAGUACUGUGUUUAGAGUGGAAUUCAGUGUGCAGCACGAAGUGAAAACAAGCGGAAAAAUACAAGAACCAAUAUGAGUGAAAUUUCCUGCAAAGGUAGUCCCACAUCGAGCGCUAGCGCACGAAUAAGUUUGGUCACAGACGAAAGUCACUUCAGCUUGGCCAGCCUCAACUCCACCGUCAGUCAGGAUGAAUUCUUCAGGUGCAGAGAACACUCCGACUUGGUGCUCAAACGGAUGCAAGAAUAUCUGCAGAACGAGAAACUGUGCGAUGUGAUCUUGGUGGCCGGAUUAGACGGCAAACGCGUACCUGCCCAUCGUCUGGUACUAUCCGCCUCCUCGGCCUACUUCAGUGCGAUGUUUACCGGCCAACUGCGCGAAAGUCAACAGGAAGAGAUAACACUGCAGGAAGUGUCCGGUGAAGCCCUCCAGCUGCUCAUCCAGUACUGCUACACGGGAGCAAUCGAGCUGCGCGAGGACACUGUCGAAACGUUACUCGCAACCGCCUGUCUGCUCCAGCUGAGCACAAUCGUCAAUGCGUGCUGUACUUUCCUGGCCCGCCAACUGCAUCCGUCCAAUUGUCUCGGGUUUUCGCUGUUUGCUGAACAGCAAGGAUGUACUGCACUGGUAAAAAUUGCCUCCGCCUAUACCUGCCAGCAUUUUAUGCAAGUCUGGAAGAAUCAGGAAUUUUUCCAGCUGGACUCGGUUCAGCUGUCAAAUCUGCUGCAGAGUGACGAUUUGAAUGUUCCUAACGAGCAGGAAGUAUUCCAUGCGCUGAUGGCAUGGAUUCAGUUCGAUUCGGAGAAUCGGAAAAAGUACAUUCCCGAAUUGUUGGCGUUGAUUCGGUUGCCACUACUGCAACCAUCGUUCAUCGUCGAUCACGUAGAAGCCCUCUGUGGUGCUAAUGAGUGUCAGCAACUCGUAAUGGAAGCAUUUAAGUGGCAUCUAAUCCCUGGCAGGAGGUCGCAGAUAUCAACACAACGCACUAGACCCAGGAAGUCGACCAUUGGAAAGCUGUUGGCAGUUGGUGGAAUGGAUGGUCAUAAAGGAGCAAUUAGCAUAGAGAGCUACGAGCCACGUCUAGAUAAAUGGACUCUGCUGAAAAACAUGCCGGCGAGGCGGUUGCAGUUCGGGGUAGCAGUGAUGGAUGAUAAGCUGAUAAUCGUUGGAGGUAGAGACGGCCUAAAGACACUUAAUACAGUGGAAUGUUUCGAUUUGACAACGAUGACUUGGGGUUCGAUAGUACCACCGAUGGGAACGCCUAGACAUGGAUUAGGAGUGGCAUUUUUGGAAGGGCCUUUGUACGCGGUAGGUGGUCACGAUGGUUGGAGCUAUCUGGCCACGGUUGAGCGAUGGGAUCCGGCGGCACGUUCUUGGAGCUACGUAGCACCGAUGGCAUCGAUGAGAUCCACUGCCGGUGUGGCAGUACUCGGUGGGCGUCUGUUUGUGAUUGGGGGAAGGGACGGCAGCGUUUGUCAUCGGACAGUUGAGUGCUAUGAUCCUCACACAAAUAAAUGGACGCUGCGAGCGCCGAUGAAUAAGCGUCGAGGAGGAGUGGGGGUUGGUGUCCUCAAUGGUUUCCUGUACGCUCUGGGAGGGCAUGACUGCCCGGCAAGCAAUCCGGCUGUAUGCAGGACUGAGACAGUCGAACGUUACGAUCCAACCACGGACACAUGGACGUUGAUCGCAUCUCUGAGCGUUGGACGUGAUGCAAUAGGAGUAAGCGUUCUUGGCGAUUGGCUGAUUGCCGUCGGUGGUUACGAUGGCAAUCAGUACCUGAAAACAGUCGAGCAGUACGAUACGGAGAGCAACGAGUGGCAACAGAUUGCUGCAGUCAAUUAUAGUCGUGCAGGGGCCUGCGUAGUGGCCAUACCUAACAACUUUUCAUCCACCAACGGUGGAGCGGUAGGCUCAGGAGUCACAUCAGCUUCAAUGGGCACACUGGCUACGGUGUCGUCUAACUCCUCCACAAAUACUACGGUUUAGUACAGUUUCCCAAUUAAUGCUAGUGCCGCUUUCCCUAGAAGGGCAUCCGUCGAGGCGCUUGCAAUAAUUCGGCAUCUUGCGUAACAGAGGAGCAGGUUCCUCUCGUACCGGUAAUUACUACUAUAGGCGACAGUUUAGGAUCUAUGAUUAUUACGUUUAGCAGGUGGAACAGGCUGCCCAUCCGGUAAAGAUAUGUAGGUACUAGUGUUUGCUCGAAUUGACGCCAAGUGACAAGAAAAAACUUCCCCUGUGAUCAUUUAUAUGUUUAGUUACGGUGAAGCAAAUUGUAAGCUCACAUUUAUAACGUAAAAUUCCAUUGAAAGGCGAAAUGCUAGUAGCAGCCAGCAAGCGCCUCCCAUGGAAACUUCGCGCAGUCCGUUCUUGUUCUUUCUUGAGAUUAUUUUCCAGUGAAUGCGAUGGAUGGUUGGUUAUGUAGGUAUCUAGUUCCAAAGAUUUGCUGCCAAAACCACCGUAAUACAGGGUGCGAAGUUUGAUGGGAGGUAUUUUUUUAUCUGUGAUCGGCUAACAAAAAAUUAAUGCAAAAAUAAAUUCCAAUUUCAUUUUUUUUGAUAAACUGUGUUGCCUCGUAUAUGGGGUGUUUAGGAGAUAACAAGAUUCGAUUCGAUAUUUUCAAACUCCGGUCACCCCAAACCGCGUAUACUAAAUGCUUUUCAGUGACUGUUAGGUAAGAAUCAAACAUUUGUUCUCCUGCACUAGAAACUAAGCUUUGUGCGUGAUAUUUUUUACUUUUCUAGGAGUCAGGGUAGCGAUAAAAACGAGAGCUAACUAGAAUCAAUUGUAUUAGGUCAUCGACUCCAACGUAACUAAGUUAAAACCUAAAGGCCGAGUGAAAGGUAUUAGACAAUACCUUUUAAACAAUUAACUAAAGUAUGCCUAGUAUUAGUACUGAGAAAAAAAACAGCAACCGAAGAUCCUACAGCUAUAUUUCAAAUGAAAGCCACACAGAAGAAUACUUGUUUUGAUACUAUUUAUAGCUAAAUAUUAUAUACUGGCGAUCAAUUAAUAACAAUAAUAAAAUAUUUUACUAUGAAUCUA